rnacentral:rRNA from 1 species
UGUGGUUACCAUGAGUUGAUGGUGGAUGCCUUGGAAGGCUGAGGCGACGAAGGACGUGGCGUGACUGCGAUAAGCCUCGGGGAGGUGUCAAGCAACCUUUGAUCCGGGGAUGUCCGAAUGGGGAAACCUGACUCGAUUAAAACCGAGUUGCCGAGCACAUAAUAUGUGCUGGGCGCGCACCCGGGGAAGCAAAACAUUCUAGUACCCGGAGGAAAAAAGAACAAUUGUGAUUCCCUUAGUAGCGGCGAGCGAAAAGGGAAAUAGCCCAGAGCCGUCCCAGUGCCGACAUUGUCGAGAUUGAAACCGGGACAAAAAGGACGAAUCAAUGACGGCAACGUCGGCAUCGGGACGAGCAGUUAAAAGAGAGUGACGCCCAGUAAUUUUCUUUGGAAAGAUCCAGAGAAAAUUACCGGAAGAAGUUACAAAAUUGAUGGUUAGCCGAAAUCUCCUGGAAAGAGAUAUCAAAGAGGGUAAUAGUCCCGUAGGCGAAAACCAAUCAAUCUUCUAGUCUCUUCCGCCUCUACGGCGGACUGCCGAUGAGGCAGUUUCUUAAGUACUAUGAGGUAUGAUAACCUUCGUAGGAAGUCGGUGGAACUACACCACCAAGGCUAAAUACUCAGCCUUACCGAUAGUGAACUAGUACCGUGAGGGAAAGGUGAAAAGUAGGGCGGUAAGCCCGGUGAAAUAGAACCUGAAACCAUCCAACUUACAAAGAGUCGGAGUCCUUCCGCCGCAAGGCGUCAGGAUGACGGCGUACUUUUUGGAGAACGAGCCAACGAGUUCUCUCUCAUGCUUUCGUUUAAGUGCCUCUGGCACGAAGACAAAGUGAAAGCGAGCGUUAAUAGCGCGAACUAAAGAGCUUGAGAGUGAGACCCGAAGCCAAGCGAGCUUGCCAUCGUCAGGGUGAAUGCCGUAGAAAUACGACAGGAGGCCCGAACCCGUGAGCCGUGCAAUACUCUGGGAUGAACGGUGGCAAGAAGAGAAAACCUAAACGAGCUUGGUAAUAGCUGGUUCUUCCCGAAAUAGCUUUAGGACUAGCCCCCGCAACAAAGCAUCUUGGGGGUAGAGCACUGAAUGAAAUAUCGUGGAAUUUUUUCCAGGUGUUUUAAUCAAACUCCGAAUACCAAGAUGCCGUGGGGAGUACGAACCUGGGCGCUAAGGUCCAGGCUCAAAAGGGAAACAGCCCAGACCUUCAUCUAAGGUCCCUAAAUUUGAGCUAAGUGCAAAAAAGGAAGUGAAGUUCCUUCGAUAGUCAGGAGGUGAGCUCAGAAGCAGCUAUCCUUUAAAAAGUGCGUAACAGCUUACUGACUAAGGGAUUUUGCACCAAAGAUUAACGGGGCUAAAGCUCAAUACCGAAGAUAAGGACCCUGCACCAUACGGUGCAGGGUGGUAGGGAAGCGUCCUGUUUGCUGUGAAGGCGAUUUGUAAGAAUCGCUGGAGCGGACAGGAGCGAGAAUGUUGGCAUGAGUAACCGCAAUGCAGGUGAAAUCCCUGCACACCGAAAGCCUAAGAUUUCCUUGGCAAUGAUUUUCAGCCAGGGGUUAGGCGGCCCUAAUCUUGCCUCCGAACGGAGGUGGGAGAUGGAUAGCCGGUUAAUAUUCCGGCCCUCUGUUCAGAUUUUUUUGGAAUGACGAAGAGUAGUAACCUGGGCAAGUUAUUGGAUUCUUGUUGGCCAGCUGAGGGGAAACCCAAGGUUGGUGAAAAUUUCUUUCUUCGGAAAGGGGAAUCCAGGCGAGCACUCUUCCAAGAAAAGUUUCAAAAAGCUAAUCUGGAUAGAACCGUAUCGUAAACCGACACAGGUAGGCAGGUCGAGAAGACUAAGGUGAACGGGUGAAAGCUCCUGAAGGAACUCGGCAAAAAAGCGGUCGUAAGUUCGCAAUAUGACCUACCGCCUUUAUGGCGGUCGCAGCGAAAGAUUUCUUGGCGACUGUUUAUCAAAAACACAGGUUCCUGCUCAAACUCGUAAGAGGACGUAUAGGAACCGAGACCUGACCAGUGCUGGAACGUCAACGAUCCCGGUUUCGCCGCAAGGCGAGGCUGAGGGUCCGAAGCGCCAGUAAACGUCCGCUCUAACUCUGAGAGUGUUAAAGUAGCGUAACCCCUUGUCAGGUAAGUUCUGACCCGCAUGAAAGGUUUCACGACUAAGAAACUGUCUCCAGGAGUUGCCCGGUGAAAAUGCAGUAGGGGUGAAGAUGCCCUUUACCUGCGGCUAGACGGAAAGACCCCGAGAGCUUUACUGUAAGGUGGUAUUGAGUUUUGGGUUUUGAUGCAUAGUGUAGCGGGUAGGCUUUGAAGGUCGCCUCUAGGGGCGACUGGAGCCGACAAUGAAACACCCGUCUUUUAAACUCUUAAUUCUAACUCCGCUGUUGAAGCGGGGAACCGUGCCACCCUGGCAGUUUAAGUGGGGCACUUGCCUCCCAAAGAGUAAUGGAGGCGUUUAAAGGUCGGCUAGCUCCGGAUGGAAAUCGGAGCGAUAGGGCAAAGCCAUAAGCCGGCUUUACUGCAAGGCGGACAUGCCGCGCAGUUGGGAAACCAGAACUUAGUGAACCGAUCGUGGUUAGUAGAACCGCGAAAGAUCAUCGAACAAAAGUUACCUCGGGGAUAACAGGCUGGUAGGGCCCGCGAGUCCACAUCUACGGCCCUGUUCGGCACCUUAACAAAUCGGGGUGCUAUGCCAGUAACGGCAUACCUGGGAUAUUUUACCCACAAAUAUUCCGAAAAAAAUUGGCUUAUAACGGUGGACUCCAUAUGGUAAAAUAACUAUAUGGACAAUACCGUGGGAAGUCUUGCACGGGAACAAAAAUCUUUGAUAAUCGGCGCCAUUUUAGGCGAUGGUUAUUUGAGAAUUGUUCCGGGGAGAAAAAAUGCAUUUUUAGAANNNNNNNNNNNNNNNNNNNNNNGCCUUCCAGAGAU